rnacentral:rRNA from 1 species
AUUGAACGCUGGCGGCAGGCUUAACACAUGCAAGUCGAGCGGAGAUGAGGUGCUUGCACCUUAUCUUAGCGGCGGACGGGUGAGUAAUGCUUAGGAAUCUGCCUAUUAGUGGGGGACAACAUUCCGAAAGGAAUGCUAAUACCGCAUACGCCCUACGGGGGAAAGCAGGGGAUCUUCGGACCUUGCGCUAAUAGACGAGCCUAAGUCGGAUUAGCUAGUUGGUGGGGUAAAGGCCUAACAAGGCGACGAUCUGUAGCGGGUCUGAGAGGAUGAUCCGCUACACUGGGACUGAGACACGGCCCAGACUCCUACGGGAGGCAGCAGUGGGGAAUAUUGGACAAUGGGCGGAAGCCUGAUCCAGCCAUGCCGCGUGUGUGAAGAAGGCCUUUUGGUUGUAAGGCACUUUAAGCGAGGAGGAGGCUACCUGGAUUAAUACUCUAGGAUAGUGGACGUUACUCGCAGAAUAAGCACCGGCUAACUCUGUGCCAGCAGCCGCAGUAAAAC